ensembl:rRNA 5S_rRNA 5S ribosomal RNA
GCUUACAGCCAUGUCACCCUGCAGACCAAGACCGGUUACUCACUAAAGCUAAGCAGGGCUGAGCCUGGUCAGUACUUGGAUGGGAGACCACUAGGGAACACUAGGCUGCUGUUGGAA